rnacentral:lncRNA from 1 species
AGCGUUUAUCACGGGGAUGACUCAGCCCGCCCGAGCCUCUCUCUCCCUGAAAAGGGAAUCUGAGGCCAGGGCCGGGGUGAGAGUGUCCAUUAGACCAUCUAUAGCCUCGGGAGCCCGGAAACUCCCCUCACCUGGGAAGCACGCAGGACGGACGGACGGGAUGAGUAAAGCUCAGAUGAGGAAACCGAGGCAGAGAGAAAGGUAUAUGUCCAAAGUCACAGGCGCACAGUCUCCAAAAGCCUGCAGUUUUGACUGCUUGGCUAUGUCACCUCUGAUUUAUGACACAACGUCAUGUGGCAGCACCGAGGCCACGGUAUAUGGAGGUUCCCAGGCUAGGGGGUCUCAUCAGAGCUGUAGCUGGCGGCCUACACCACAGCCACAGCAACACCGGAUAUGAGCCAUGUCUGCGGCCUACAUCUCACAGCAACAGCAGAUCCUUAAUCCACUGAGCAAGGCCAAGGACUGAACCUCUGUCCUAGUCAGAUUUUGUUUGCACUGAGCCACUGCCAGAACUCCGUGUAGCAACUCUUAAACUGACCAAAGAAGUCAAUUUAGAGAAGGGAGCAGCCUCUGGCAGAAAAGAUUGGAUGUCUGCCCAGGCCUGAUUGGUCAGCCAUGGAAGGACCCUCCUCAGAGGGGACGUGGGUCCUUAACACAGAGAUGCAGCCGCUCCCCCGCCAACCCGCACACACACAUAUGCACGUGGACCCGGACACACUCCAGGUCGUCAGGAAUCAGCCACCCAACAAAUAUUCACCAGGCUUUACGCUAAGGAGUGCAGUUCAGCAACUGACAACACAAGCAGAAGCCCCUGCUUGCUUGGUGCCGACGCUCUAAUGGGGAGAUUUACAGCAUAAGUAAAAUGAAAAACGAAGCUGUGUAAAUAGACUCACUCACCUGCUGUCAUCCCCCAAGUCACACCUUCCACCUCCUCCGGGGCUCCAGGUUCUGGGGCUGCAUUCCUGCCUCUGGCUUGGCCUCUACUACUCCGCUCCGCUAAAUCUCCUCGCACCCCACUCCCCUCCAAACACCGCCUGCCUUGUUUGGGUCACCGUCACCCACGCCCACUCCUGAGGGCCGGCACCUGCCCGUGAACCCAUCCCAGGGAAUCCCCCAGGUGCAACCCGUGAGAUGCUGGGACUGGCAGCCCCUUGCCCAUCCCUCUCCCCCACCAGUCCUGUCCCCAGCAGUGAGCCCGGCUGGUCCACCGCGCCCAGAGUCUCCCCCCAGCCCUCGUCUCCAUCUCCCCCAGCCCCUAGAUCUUGCCGGGGCUUGGCUCCUUGUAAUGGGAGCAUCUCCAGUGCAAGAUUGUUCAGAAGGAACUGAUGAACCACAGAAGGAGCUGCGGUUCUGUUCUGGAAUCUACCAGGCGUGGUGGGCUGUGGGCUUCAUCACCUGGCAUUGCCUCGGGUGUCUACUUUCACGUCAGAGUCCCCCUGGGGUCCUCUCUCCACCUGCGUCUCUAACACGACGCUCUGUCCCCCGUCCUCCUUCUCUGACUUUCCAAGCUUCCGGUCCUCCGGCUCGGGACCCUCUGAGGUUACUCUUUCUCUCCAGACCAGCUCUGCCCACCACUACCCUGCGUGUCCAUAAAUGACAAAAGACACGUGCUCUAGUCGUCCCGCGGACAGGUGACAAAACAGAGACAGGAGGAGGUGAGGGCUCGUCCUGGUUGGGGAACAGACUGGAGCCAGAGAAGGACUAAACCUCAGGUCUCUGGGCCUGAGCUUGUUCCCAGGGACUUCAAGGAAGUUUCUAGUGAUCUAACCUCUUUGUUUCAGAGUUGUCAAACAAAAACACCCAUCUCCUCUUCUUUCUUCAGUCUUUCUCUCUUCAUCCCUUGUGACCAGGCCUGACUCCCUCCCUCCCUCCCUCUCUCUCUCUCUUUCACACACACACACACACUCGGUUUGGGAUGGGGAGGUGUGGGAGGGCUGAGACUUGGAAGCCUGCCUCAUACACCUCCCUCCCUCGAUGAGGCUCCUGGAGGGGUGGAUACAGACAUGGUUUUUGUCUCUAAGGAGAGAGUCAACUUUUUUGCACCCCUCCCCCCAGCCCUGGGGUGAGCUUCCUUCCACCGAGGUCUGAGGGCUACUGAGCUGGUCAGAGGUCCUCCUGAGCUGCACGUAUCCCCAACAAGGAGACGAGCAACGGCUCGCCCCUUUACAGCCAAAGAACCUGUCUAACCUUGGCCCGCAGUCAGGAGAGGAGAGCAGAAACCAGAAGUCACCCGAUGCCGCCUCACUCCUAGAAUCCACUCCCAGGUCAAAGAGUAAGAAUGGUCUCCACAGCAGCUGAUGUGUUAAACUUGUGGACCCUUCUGCAUCCCUGAGGAUUCGUGAGCCCCGAAAAACAUGCUGCCCUGAGCUUUCCUGGCCCCACCAAGAUUCCUGGCUGCUGAAUUUUCAAGAACGACUCACCUCCCGAGCACAAGGCAAUUACACAAACCUCCUAGGCAACCUCUGGAGGGGGAAAAAUGCAGACGAAGAGGGCCACCUGAAAAAAAAAAAAAAAAAAAAGUCCAGCAUAAGGACAGCUUAAUAAAAUGCAUGUGUUCAAC